AUUUAAAUAGUUUAAUUAAAAUAUUAAUUUGUGGAAUUAAAGAUUAUUAUAAGAUAUUUAAAUA
rnacentral:tRNA from 1 species